GGCAUCUCUUAAAUAUCAAAGGUGAGCCAGUACAGGAUGGACCCGCGUCUGAUUAGCUAGUUGGUAAGGUAACGGCUUACCAAGGCGACGAUCAGUAGCCGACCUGAGAGGGUGAUCGGCCACAUUGGAACUGAGACACGGUCCAAACUCCUACGGGAGGCAGCAGUGGGGAAUAUUGCACAAUGGGCGAAAGCCUGAUGCAGCAACGCCGCGUGAGUGAUGAAGGCCUUCGGGUCGUAAAACUCUGUCCUCAAGGAAGAUAAUGACGGUACUUGAGGAGGAAGCCCCGGCUAACUACGUGCCAGCAGCCGCGGUAAUACGUAGGGGGCUAGCGUUAUCCGGAUUUACUGGGCGUAAAGGGUGCGUAGGCGGUCUUUCAAGUCAGGAGUGAAAGGCUACGGCUCAACCGUAGUAAGCUCUUGAAACUGGGAGACUUGAGUGCAGGAGAGGAGAGUGGAAUUCCUAGUGUAGCGGUGAAAUGCGUAGAUAUUAGGAGGAACACCAGUUGCGAAGGCGGCUCUCUGGACUGUAACUGACGCUGAGGCACGAAAGCGUGGGGAGCAAACAGGAUUAGAUACCCUGGUAGUCCACGCUGUAAAC
rnacentral:rRNA from 1 species